UAAAAGGCUUUUCUUAAAGCCAUUUUUCUCUUGGAUAUGUACUUAUU
rfam:Picea glauca, whole genome shotgun sequence.